GACGAACGCUGGCGGCAUGCUUAACACAUGCAAGUCGAACGGAAAGGCCCUGCUUUUGUGGGGUGCUCGAGUGGCGAACGGGUGAGUAACACGUGAGUAACCUGCCCUUGACUUUGGGAUAACUUCAGGAAACUGGGGCUAAUACCGGAUAGGAGCUCCUGCUGCAUGGUGGGGGUUGGAAAUUUUCGGCGGUUGGGGAUGGACUCGCGGCUUAUCAGCUUGUUGGUGGGGUAGUGGCUUACCAAGGCUUUGACGGGUAGCCGGCCUGAGAGGGUGACCGGCCACAUGGGGACUGAGAUACGGCCCAGACUCCUACGGGAGGCAGCAGGGGGGAAUAUGGUACAAUGGGCGGAAGCCUGAUGAAGAAACGCCGCGUGCGGGAUGACGGCCUUCGGGUUGUAAACCGCUUUAGCCUGUGACGAAGCGUGAGUGACGGUAAUGGGUAAAGAAGCACCGGCUAACUACGUG
rnacentral:rRNA from 1 species